rnacentral:rRNA from 1 species
UACGAAGGGGGCUAGCGUUGUUCGGAAUCACUGGGCGUAAAGAGUACGUAGGCGGAUUGUUAAGUCAGGGGUGAAAUCCCGAGGCUCAACCUCGGAACUGCCUUUGAUACUGGCAAUCUUGAGUCCGGGAGAGGUGAGUGGAAUUCCUAGUGUAGAGGUGAAAUUCGUAGAUAUCUGGAGGAACACCGGUGGCGAAGGCGGCAUCCUGGACCGGCAUUGACGCUGAGGCGCGAAAGCUAGGGGAGCAAACGGG